rnacentral:rRNA from 1 species
GUCGGGAAUAUUGGGCAAUGGGCGCAAGCCUGACCCAGCAACUCCGCGUGAGGGAUGAAGGCCCUCGGGUCGUAAACCUCUGUCGGGAGGGAAGAAAGGGUCGUAGGUCAAUAUCCUAUGGCAUUGACGGUACCUCCAAAGGAAGCUCCGGCUAACUCCGUGCCAGCAGCCGCGGUAAUACGGAGGGAGCAAGCGUUGUUCGGAAUUAUUGGGCGUAAAGCGGGUGUAGGCGGCUCGGCAAGUCGGGUGUGAAAGCCCAGGGCCCAACCCUGGAACUGCACUCGAAACUGCUGAGCUAGAGUCCCGGAGAGGGUGGCGGAAUUCCCGGUGUAGAGGUGAAAUUCGUAGAUAUCGGGAGGAACACCAGUGGCGAAGGCGGCCACCUGGACGGUGACUGACGCUCAGACCCGAAAGCGUGGGGAGCAAACAGG